rnacentral:rRNA from 1 species
UACGUAGGGUGCAAGCGUUGUCCGGAAUUAUUGGGCGUAAAGAGCUCGUAGGCGGUCUGUCGCGUCGGCUGUGAAAUCCCGAGGCUCAACCUCGGGUCUGCAGUCGAUACGGGCAAACUAGAGUAUUGCAGGGGAGACUGGAAUUCCUGGUGUAGCGGUGAAAUGCGCAGAUAUCAGGAGGAACACCGAUGGCGAAGGCAGGUCUCUGGGCAUUAACUGACGCUGAGGAGCGAAAGCAUGGGGAGCAAACAGG